CAGCUCGUUGACUGGGCCUUAAGGCUGCGGUGUUCAGAUAUGGACUUUUGUGCUUUCGAGUCGUUGGGCGAUUUCAUAGUAGACAAUGCAGCUUGCCUUUACACGUCUCAUCAAUCGAUCGCUGCUCCCGUUGCACCGGCCAAUUCCCCUUGCUAUUCCCCCCGUGUGUGCCCGUGUCUGCGCCCGUCUGGCUCUGUGUGCGUGGCUGUUCAUUUAUCUGCUGCCCUACCUCGCCGACACAACCCAACUUUCUUGACCAUUGCGCCACAUCGCACACCUCAAUGACCAAAGUCAGUUAAUCAUCAACGCCUAAGACUCGGGAAUCUCAAGGUGGCCCGCCAUGGAGACUUAGCGGUAACGACAAUAAUAAGACUAGGGGCAGAACAAUAAUCUGAGUUUGUGCAUACGCAAACACUAGACAGGGCCUCAAAGGUCACGGUGCAAGGCCAGCUAGCACAAGUCAAUACUCAGCCCAGCAGAUCAAAGCCAACAAUCAUCGGAAAGCCAAACCAACCUGAAGCGAGAUUUCUUAGAAGAUGCUCUGUGUAAACAUUCGGUCGAGUAACCGAUAAUCUGAAAAACAGACAAGUAGGCUACCGGACAGCGCGCCGGAACUAACAAGGGCUGAAGCAUGUGAAAGAUACUUCCCACGUUUAGCUGGUCCUAUGAAAAUCGCCCGGACAAAUUCAGUGAAAUGAGGUAUGUAAUAAUGAAAAUAUAACUACGGCGGGCCGGCUAGUGGGCAUCGGUCUGCGUGGACGACUUUACAAAGAGUGUCAAGAAUUGCACCUACGGGGCAGCAAUAGGCUAUCCUAUGGAAGAUGAAUUAAGAUCUUACGAUGAUGGCUGGCUUGCCAUGAUGACGGCUCGAAGAAUGCGUGCUUGCACCUAUAUAGUGCGACACUGCACGGGACUUCUAGCAAUGUAGACUUGCACCCUUUCCGGGGCACAUCGUUUCGUAGUAAUCGCCAAAUCGACUACAUCGGAAGAACCAGAGCUAAAUAUACCUCUCCGCACUUCUGCUACCAGCAGGUCUGCAGAAGAUUGUCGCUGCUGUUCUCAGUUGCCUACCCAACCAAGUCUGGUUACAGGUUUUAACAACACUAUGUUCACGACAUUUCCUCGACCGAGACGAAGCAGUUGAAGCACUACGAAAUUAAGCCCAAAGAAGCAAAGCUGCUAAUCGAAAAAGUUUGAGCAGAAAAAAAAUAGCCCAUCUUUGGAACGCUGCGAGCAGUCCCCUCAAACUGCUGCCCAUGC